GGAAAUAGCUCAGUGGCAGAGCACAUGCUUAGCAUGCACGAGGUCCUGGGUUCAGUCCCCAGCACCUCCA
rnacentral:tRNA from 1 species